GCUGGCGUAGCUCAGUUGGUAGAGCAGCUGAUUUGUAAUCAGCAGGUCGGGGGUUCGAAUCCGUCCGCCAGCUCCA
rnacentral:tRNA from 7 species